CCCUUAGAGUUUGAUCCUGGCUCAGGAUGAACGCUGGCGGCGUGCCUAAUACAUGCAAGUCGAGCGAAUGGAUUAAGAGCUUGCUCUUAUGAAGUUAGCGGCGGACGGGUGAGUAACACGUGGGUAACCUGCCCAUAAGACUGGGAUAACUCCGGGAAACCGGGGCUAAUACCGGAUAAUAUUUUGAACCGCAUGGUUCGAAAUUGAAAGGCGGCUUCGGCUGUCACUUAUGGAUGGACCCGCGUCGCAUUAGCUAGUUGGUGAGGUAACGGCUCACCAAGGCAACGAUGCGUAGCCGACCUGAGAGGGUGAUCGGCCACACUGGGACUGAGACACGGCCCAGACUCCUACGGGAGGCAGCAGUAGGGAAUCUUCCGCAAUGGACGAAAGUCUGACGGAACAACGCCGCGUGAGUGAUGAAGGCUUUCGGGUCGUAAAACUCUGUUGUUAGGGAAGAACAAGUGCUAGUUGAAUAAGCUGGCACCUUGACGGUACCUAACCAGAAAGCCACGGCUAACUACGUGCCAGCAGCCGCGGUAAUACGUAGGUGGCAAGCGUUAUCCGGAAUUAUUGGGCGUAAAGCGCGCGCAGGUGGUUUCUUAAGUCUGAUGUGAAAGCCCACGGCUCAACCGUGGAGGGUCAUUGGAAACUGGGAGACUUGAGUGCAGAAGAGGAAAGUGGAAUUCCAUGUGUAGCGGUGAAAUGCGUAGAGAUAUGGAGGAACACCAGUGGCGAAGGCGACUUUCUGGUCUGUAAC
rnacentral:rRNA from 1 species